AAAUGAAUUGGGCUUAUGGGCGAGACCUAGCCAACUAAUUCCAACGCUCACAAAUAUUCUAUACCCAAAGAUAAUAAGUGGCAACUGAAUCAAGAGAGGGGGCAGCCAUGGAAGGUAGCAACAGCAGCGAGGACUUUGCGGUGGGCUGCUUGAUCUCCAUCAAGACCACAUUAGGGGAAGAAUUCGACGGCCAAGUCAUCACUUUCGACCGUUCCUCGAACAUCCUCGUUCUUCAUAUCCUUCCUUUUAUUCUUUGCUUACUUCUCAUUAAUCUUUGUUUCUCUUUUCUAUCUCAAGUUCUUAACCCUAAUUCUCUAAGCGGCGCUGUAUUUUUUUAUUAACCACUUUAAUUCCUUAACUAUUUUGUGUUACAAGAGGGAUCGAAACCUGGGCCUAGGAGAAACAUAAGGUUCUUGAAAGCUAAUUAUAUAAAGGAGUUUUCUUUUCUGGGUCAAGCCGACGACCCACUUGAUGUCAAGAAGUGUUAUAUUGAUCUCCACAGUCUUCAAGCUAGAGAGGAUUUGGCUUUAAGGCAGGCAGAAGCAGAGGCAGAGAGGAUUGGAGUGGGUGUCACAGCUGAGGCGCAGAGUAUCUUUGAUGCUUUGUCUAAGACACUUCCAGUGCACUGGGACAAGACUGUCAUUGUGGUCAUGAAUGAAGUAAGAGUUAGCAGUCCAUAUCUCCCAGAAUGUGUAAGUGGAGGAACGCCUGCUGCUAAUGAAAGGGUGAAAAAAGUGCUCGAGUUUGAGAGAAAGAGGUUGCAAGCUCGUGGUGCCAGUCAGUGAUGAGUGUAGUACACGUCAUACUCCUACUACAGUUGGGAUAGGUACCUUGACAAAUGGAUUGCUGUGGGUAUGUUGCUUAACCCAGCCUUAGUGCAACCUUAACUGAGAAAAACAUGUUUCUGUGCUGAGACAAUCUCACAUUGAAGGAAUAUAGUUUUUACCAUGGAAUUAUUUAGUAGUUAUUCCUUCAUUUUGCUGCCUCUGGCAUUUUCAAAUUUGGUAUGUUGCUUCUGGAGCAAAAUCAAUGGCAGGGAAUCCUGGUUUCGUAGUCUGCUGCUAUCCUCGCAGAUGUUAUGUACUUACAUGUCAAAUAAGUUUGCUACCCUACAAUCAAAACAAGUAAUUUCCUAGUUUCCAAAUUACUCUGAAAUCAUGUAUUGUGUGAAUGAAGCAAGUUAUGUGUUGUUUUUUUCCUUUUCAUAACUACAGAAUAUUCUAUCAACCUAGUAUGUUGUUGCCAUCUGUUAAUGUAGAAAGAAUUAAGGGGUGAAUCAGCGCUUUAAUAAUCUCUGGACAUAUGGGAUGGUCAAAUUGUAAGACAGGUGAUUGAGGAUUGAAGCAUGAAGCUACAGAGUUGGGAAAACGUAAUUUUGCUCAGAUUUAUCCUCUCAAAUGCUAAAUGUCAGUUGUCUGAAUCAAGCUAGAGCUAUUCUUUUUUCUUGUGCUAUUGUACCUACAUAGAAAAUUCUUGUAGUGUUGGUAUCAGAGUAUUUGUGAUGCGGAAAUUGAUUUAGUUUUUAAUGGUGAAAUUAAAAUCUUUAAUUUAGAUUUCUAGUACAAUUAGGAAGUUUAGGUUAUUUAAGAAUUAAAUUAUAAAUAUGAAUUGUUUAAGUUUCUCUCAAAUUAGAGUUUUCAAUUACU
rnacentral:misc_RNA from 1 species